rnacentral:rRNA from 1 species
UGGUGCCAGCAGCCGCGGUAAUUCCAGCUCCAAUAGCGUAUAUUAAAGUUGUUGCAGUUAAAAAGCUCGUAGUUGAAUUUCGGGGUCAGUAGGUUGGUCAUGCCUCUGGUAUGUACUGGUCUCACUGAUUCCUCCUUCCUGAUGAACCGUAAUGCCAUUAAUUUGGUGUUGCGGGGAAUUUGGACUGUUACUUUGAAAAAAUUAGAGUGUUUAAAGCAAGCUAACGCUUGAAUACAUUAGCAUGGAAUAAUGAAAUAGGACGUUCGAUCCUAUUUUGUUGGUUUCUAGGAUUGACGUAAUGAUUAAUAGGGAUAGUUGGGGGCAUUAGUAUUCAAUUGUCAGAGGUGAAAUUCUUGGAUUUAUUGAAGACUAACUACUGCGAAAGCAUUUGCCAAGGAUGUUUUCAUUAAUCAAGAACGAAAGUUAGGGGAUCGAAGACGAUCAGAUACCGUCGUAGUCUUAACCAUAAACUAUGCCGACUAGGGA